rnacentral:rRNA from 1 species
GACAGAGGGGGGCAAGCGUUGCUCGGAAUUACUGGGCGUAAAGGGCGCGUAGGCGGGAUGGCAAGUCGGUCGUGAAAUCCCUCGGCUCAACUAAGGAUCGUCGAUCGAUACUGCCGUUCUUGAGGAUUGCAGAGGAGACUGGAAUUCCCGGUGUAGCGGUGAAAUGUGUAGAGAUCGGGAGGAACACCGGUGGCGAAGGCGGGUCUCUGGGCAAUUCCUGACGCUGAGGCGCGAAAGCGUGGGGAGCAAACGGG